AAAUAAAUCUGCAUACCUGACGAACAAAAGGAUGUGAAUUUAGAAACUUUAACUGUUUCUUUCUUCCUUUCAGAAGAAGCUCGCGGGGAUAUCUCUUGUGAAUGCGAACUUUCCGGAUGAAUUAAGCAGAAGGAGCAAUAUCCUGGCAAGUCAUUAUUUACUUCGCGUCUUCAAAUAAUCGUGCCCGGAGCAUACAGCUUCAUAUUUGAGAUCAAUUUAUCUAAUUCUGUGAUAUAUGUAUGGUUUUCGUUUCUUUCUGUGAAAAUAGCGCAAGCGUGUCAAGAUUGAUAAUCUGAUACUCACCGUAGUCUUUCUGCUUUUCCCAGCUCUUGUACUCCCGCACGACAUUCUCGACUUUCGCGAAAGCUCGCAGAAAGUCAUCAUCCUCCCAGCCAAACUGUUUGUACUGAUGCAAGAAAGCUGCGCACUUGUAGGAAUUCCAGGCUUUAUCCAGACCUCCUGUCAUCACAACAUCAUCUUCCAUAGACUUGCCACGUGUCACAAGAAGGUUGGACACACAGGGACUAUACGUGUGAGACA